rnacentral:rRNA from 1 species
GAUGAACGCUGGCGGCGUGCCUAAUACAUGCAAGUCGAGCGAACAGACGAGGAGCUUGCUCCUCUGACGUUAGCGGCGGACGGGUGAGUAACACGUGGAUAACCUACCUAUAAGACUGGGAUAACUUCGGGAAACCGGAGCUAAUACCGGAUAACAUGUUGAACCGCAUGGUUCAACGGUGAAAGACGGUCUUGCUGUCGCUUAUAGAUGGAUCCGCGCCGCAUUAGCUAGUUGGUAAGGUAACGGCUUACCAAGGCAACGAUGCGCAGCCGACCUGAGAGGGUGAUCGGCCACACUGGAACUGAGACACGGUCCAGACUCCUACGGGAGGCAGCAGUAGGGAAUCUUCCGCAAUGGGCGAAAGCCUGACGGAGCAACGCCGCGUGAGUGAAGAAGGUCUUCGGAUCGUAAAACUCUGUUAUUAGGGAAGAACAAAUGUGUAAGUAACUAUGCACGUCUUGACGGUACCUAAUCAGAAAGCCACGGCUAACUACGUG